GGUUAUACAAAAUAAAUAAAUAAAUUAUCUUAGUAAUAGUUAAAUUAUAUAAUAUAUAAUAAUAAUUUAAAUUUAAUUUUUUAGGUGAAAUUUAAAAUUAAUAAAAAUUAUUAAAAUAUUUUGUUUAAGCUAAUAAAAUUUUAUUAUAAACUAGGAUUAGAUACCCUAUUAUAGAAAAAUUAAAUAAUUAUACUUGAGUAGUAAAAGUUAUAAUCUUAAAACUUAAAAAAUUUGGCGGUAUUUUAGUCUAUUCAGAGGAAUUUGUCCUGUAAUUGAUAAUCCGCAUUGAACCUUACUUAAUUUAUUAGUAUGUAUAUCGCUGUCAAUUAGAAUAUAUUAAAAGAUUAAUAAUUUUCUAUAAUUUUUAUUAAAAUUUAUGUCAGGUCAAGGUGCAGCUUAUAAUUAAGUAGAGAUGAAUUACAAUAAAAUAAUUUAAACGGAAAUUUUAUUGAAAUAUAAGAUUUAAGGUGGAUUUGAUAGUAAAAUUAAAAAGAUUAUUAAUUUGAUUUUAGCUCUAAAAUAUGCACAUAUCGCCCGUCGCUCUCAUUUUAAAGUGAGAUAAGUCGUAACAUAGUAGAUGUACUGGAAAGUGUAUCUAGAAAGU
rnacentral:rRNA from 1 species